UACUCAGCCGCUUAAAGGAAUUGUGGGAGCUGGAGUCCAAAACACCUGGAAGGCCCAAGUUUGCCCAUGCCUGGUCUGGACUGUGUGUUAUCUGUUCAUUUGGUUUCUGAUUUUUUAUGUUAUGUGUAUUUUUGCUGUUUUGACCAUAUAUGCCGCUUUGAAUCCCACCCUUGGGAGAAAAGCGGGAUAAAAAUAAAUAAUAGACGGAGAACAAGCAUGUUUUAGGACUUGGCUCUCAGCCAUUGAUCAGGGACUAAUAUCACAACAUGUAUUAGAAAAAUAUUCUUACCCUUCCUAGGGAGCACUUUAUAUUGUUGUAUAUAUAAAGGGGCCUCCUGCUUUUGACUUUGGAUUAAGAAGAGUAUUUUUACAUCUUUGCCCCUUCAUCUAUAUCCCCGGAUCCCAUCCCAGAUUUAUCUGCUUUAUUGCAAAACCCCUGUAUUUAGGAAACGAUGGGCCCUUCCAAACAGCCCUAUAUCCCAGAAUAUCAAGGUAGAAAAUCCCACAAUAUCUGCUUUGAACUGAGUUAUCUGAGUCCACACCGCCAUACGUUCCAGUUCAAAGCAGAAAAUGUGGGAUUUUAUUCAGCUGUGUGGAAGGGGCCUGAGUCUCCACUGCCAACUAAUCUGGGAUAAGCAGAUAAUGUGGGAUUGGAUUCUGGGAUAUAGAAUCUAGAAGGGGCCUCAGGCCUCUUGUAGAAGGGGCCUCAGGCCUCUUCCAUAUAGCUGAAUAAAAUCCCAUAUCUGCUUUGAACUGGAAUAUAUGGCAGUAUAUUCCAGUUCAAUAUGUGUACUCAGAUAUCCCAGUUCAAAGCAAAUAUUGUGGGAUUUUCUGCCCUGAUAUAUGGCUGUGUGGAAGGGCCCUCAGAGACUCAGCCAUUACAUGGUUAGCGCAGUGGUCUUCGAACCUUUUAAGCAGAGGGCCAAGUUUAGGUCCCUCAGAAAAAUUUUAACCAACAUAAAUUUACUAAUAUCUGAAUGGGAAAUGUAAACCUGCUUUUGGCUAAUGAGCCAAGUUCAUUAGGAUUGUUGUUAUGUACCUUCAAGUCAUUUCAGACUUAAGGUGACCUUAAGUCUAAAGUUUAGGGCAGGGGCCGAGUAAAUGACUUUGGAGGGCUGCAUCUGGCCCACCAAAAAUCCUUUCAGGUAGAUCCUCUUCAAUAUAAACUAUUUCAAUAGGUUGCAGUGAGUUUUCCGGGGUGUAUGGCCAUGUUCCAGAAGCAUUCUUCCCUGAUGUUUCACCCACAUCUGUGGCAGUCAUUCUCAGAGGUUGUGGGGUCUGUUGUAGUCAAGCGGGGUUUAUAUAUCUGUGGCCAGUCCAGGGUGGGAGAAAGAACUCUUGUCUGUUGGAAGCAGGUGUUAAUGUUUCAAUUGGCCACCUUGAUGAGCAGUGAAUAGCAUUUCAGCUUCACGUUCUGGCUGCUUACUGCCAGGGGGGAAUCCUUUAUUGGGAGGUGUUAGCUGGCCCUGAUUGAUUCAUGUCUAUUUCAAUAGGUUCAAAAGCAUAGGCAGCUCCAGAGGCAGAGGGGACGGACAGACAGCCUUUCUUGGGCCAGGCAAUGAGGAGGAAAAGGAAGGGACCUGAGGCUGUUUGGAAUGGUGGGAGUUGGAGUCCAAAACAUCCAGAGGGCUCAAGUUGGCCCAUGCCUGGUCUACACCCUCCUAUAAUAAUAUCUUUAUCUACACUGAACAUAUAGCUCAUUAGAACAUUGCCUCUGAUUUAAGAAAAACCUUCACUCUGGUUGAGGAAUGCUAUUCUCAAUUCCAGCCUCCCACCGACCAAUCAAGGCCCACGGUGUGGAGCAUGCUGAUUGGCCAGCCCUCCUCCUAUAAUGCUGCCACUUCAGAGUUCCUUCAGAAGGAGAACUAGCAGUUGGUGGCCAUGAUGGCUGAUCAAUAUAAUGGAUGGCAGCCUGUGGCCCUGCCCUUAGGAAGCUGAGAGUGUGUGACCCUAUGAUGAGGCUGAGGGAUUGUUCAUGCCCUACAGCUCUGUCAUGGAGGCUGAGAGAGAGAGAGACUGCUGGGAAGCGAGGGUUUCAAGGAAGCUGAGGGAUGAGAGAGUGUGACCCUUAUGGAUAAAGAAGGAAUCAACCUACUCUCCCUGGGGAGAGAGUUCCAGAGUCGAGGGACGACCACCGAGAAGGCCCUCUCCCUCAUCCCCACCAGCCGCAACUGGGACAAGGUUCGUAGGGAAGGAGGCGAUCACGGAGAUAUGCAGGUCCUGAGUGUACUGAGAGUGAAAAUUCUUUUCAUGGGCCCCAGCGAGAAACAGGAUUUUGACCCUCACUGCUCUGGCCCUGUGGAGUGUGAGAAGGUGCCCUGUGACAGCUGUGAAGUCGACCUGACCCUUCAUGGAGUGCAGAAGCUUGGAUGGCAGUUCAGGGACCACAAGACCCAAACUCCACUCAGAAAGUGAGAAGAAGUUACCUGUCUGUUUCAAAGGAACCGACUGACUCCAAGUUCCAAAGUGAGGACCUGCUUGGCGUUCUUUCAGCCGUGCACUGUGAAAAAGAGACAGCAGCAACGAGGCUAUUAGAGCACUUUCUCUGAAAGCUUGACCCACUUCCCUCCUCUUCUAAGAAAUGUAAUUCUACUGUCUUAAGUUCCUUACCCAAGUCUCAUAUGACUCCACUUGGUUUGGCUCCCCAUCUUUCCUGGCCUCCAGUGGUGGCCGAAGCGCUGUGCAGAAAUGCUGUGGAUGAAAGAUAACAGACAUUUCCUCUGAAACCCCGGCCCACUCUUGACGGAAGUAUAAUGCUCCUGCCUUUGCUGCUUUGGUAGUGGGAGUCCUGGGACUCCUUGUUAUUGGUGUACUUACUGGAGGUGCGGGAGCGUGUGCUGAGAGUGGAGGCGCUUGGACUGGUUCAGAUGCAUGCACAAUGCUUGCUGUUCCAGCUCCUGCGCUUCUUUUUUUCUUGUUCCAAAGUGGCGCCGACUCAUCUGAAAACAUUUAUGGCUCAUCCACGAUACAGACAGUUGUGGAAAGGGGUGGUGUCCUUUUGUCAUGAGCAGUGAGCUGCUCUGUGGCAACAAGAGCAUGUGUGAUAGACUUACCUUGGUUGCUUGGUACAUUGGUUAAUAGCUACAAUGCUGAAAACUAUGCCAACUAGCAAUAUCACUAGUGCCACUGAGAGGACACCGGCUGAUCUCAGUUUUUAUGUGUUUCUUCCAUGUGUUCCUCAUAUGGAACAUUUUUCCCUUUGCCUGAAACUGAAAGAAGGAGGAAGGGAGAGAGAGAGGGAGGGAGUCAACUGAGACAAAUAGUAUUAUUUCAGGGAGGCUUCAUGCAAUAAUUAACACUUAUUUUUUUCAGAAAAGCUUUACAGAAAGGAAAUGAGUGAUAUAGGUCAGUAUUGCUCAAAGUGUUGAGCAUUGCUCCCAUGAGCCAUCACCCACUGAAUCCCCAAAAAUAAUUGUACCAAAUGGGCACAAAUAUAGUGCUUGUCCUCUGGCAUAUUGGGAGAAAAAAAGGCCUAUCCAUAUCGAAUAUCUUCAGAAGCACUGAUGGAGAAGACUCAGGAUUAGUACUGGGACAUAGGGAUAUUUUGAUUUCCAGGGUUGAUGGCAUCAUCCAUACAACACUUAUGCUUCUCUGCUCCCUCCCAAUGAAUUGGGGGAUAGUUUCUGCCAUCAAUCAUUUCUUUUUGGAUAAUAAUAAAAGUACAGUACUCACAUUGACCCACAGAUAAGUCUA